rnacentral:rRNA from 1 species
UACGUAGGGGACGAGCGUUGUCCGGAAUUACUGGGCGUAAAGGGCGCGCAGGCUGUAGAUCAAGUCAGCUGUGAAAUGUCUGGGCUUAACCCGGGCAUGCGGUUGAAACUGAUGUACUGGAGUGCUGUAGAGGCAAGUGGAAUUCCCAGUGUAGCGGUGAAAUGCGUAGAUAUUGGGAAGAACACCGGUGGCGAAGGCGACUUGCUGGGCAGCAACUGACGCUGAGGCGCGAAAGCCCAGGGGAGCAAACGGGGAUUAGAUACCCCCGUA